rnacentral:rRNA from 1 species
AACCCUUGACAUGGCAGGACCGCUGGAGAGAUUCAGCUUUCUCGUAAGAGACCUGCACACAGGUGCUGCAUGGCUGUCGUCAGCUCGUGUCGUGAGAUGUUCGGUUAAGUCCGGCAACGAGCGCAACCCACGUCCCUAGUUGCCAGCAUUCAGUUGGGCACUCUAUGGAAACUGCCGAUGAUAAGUCGGAGGAAGGUGUGGAUGACGUCAAGUCCUCAUGGCCCUUACGGGUUGGGCUACACACGUGCUACAAUGGUGGUGACAGUGGGUUAAUCCCCAAAAGCCAUCUCAGUUCGGAUUGUCCUCUGCAACUCGAGGGCAUGAAGUUGGAAUCGCUAGUAAUCGCGGAACAGCAUGCCGCGGUGAAUACGUUCCCGGGCC